GUGGACGUAGCUCAGUUGGUAGAGCUCAGGAUUGUGACUCCUGCGGUCGAGGGUUUUCAUCUUCGUUUUCC
rnacentral:tRNA from 1 species